AAUACACACCUCAUAGACCCCUCGAGGGCUGUCAAGUACCAGAUUAACAGUUGUUCCUUCCACGGAAGGCAUCAGAAUCAGAGGUUCCUGCAACUUAUUCUUUUUUCAAUACCCCUUGGCAAUCAUUAUCCACCUGACCGUUUGAUCUCUUUUUGUUUAUUUUUUCGGUUCAGGCCUUUUUGUAUUGCUUUUUCUUUUUCUUUUCUUUUUUCUUUUCUUUCUUUUUUCUUUUCUUUCUUUUUUCUUUUCGUUCUUUUCGUUUUUCAUAUUUUUUUAGCAGGAUCGACCUCGAUUCCUCUUUUGUUCAUAAUAAACCUCAGUAGUUUACAGGACAACACUCCACAAGUGCACUGAUUCGGACUCAACCUCAGUCUGAGUUGUCUCAACCUGGUCAAACGACUUGCCCCGGAUCCACCAGAUGUCCUUCUUCUGUUUGGGACUUUGCUAUCAUGUCAUCAACAUAGCAUUUGAUUCCACGAUGAGUCAUAUCAUGAAACAAAGUCACUCUGAUACGUGGCACCAGCG
rnacentral:lncRNA from 1 species